rnacentral:rRNA from 1 species
GAUGAACGCUGGCGGCGUGCUUAACACAUGCAGGUCGAACGAAGCACUUUAUUUGAUUUCCUUCGGGACUGAUUAUUUUGUGACUGAGUGGCGGACGGGUGAGUAACGCGUGGGUAACCUGCCUUGUACAGGGGGAUAACAGUUGGAAACGGCUGCUAAUACCGCAUAAGCGCACAGCAUCGCAUGAUGCAGUGUGAAAAACUCCGGUGGUAUAAGAUGGACCCGCGUUGGAUUAGCUAGUUGGUGAGGUAACGGCCCACCAAGGCGACGAUCCAUAGCCGACCUGAGAGGGUGACCGGCCACAUUGGGACUGAGACACGGCCCAAACUCCUACGGGAGGCAGCAGUGGGGAAUAUUGCACAAUGGGCGAAAGCCUGAUGCAGCGACGCCGCGUGAGCGAAGAAGUAUUUCGGUAUGUAAAGCUCUAUCAGCAGGGAAGAUAAUGACGGUACCUGACGAAGAAGCACCGGCUAAAUACGUG